GCGAAAUGGCUUUAAACUUCGGUCAGUACCCAAUUGAGUACGAUCCAAAAAUCCAUGGACCGUAUGACCCAGCUCGUUUCUAUGGGAAACGUAAGUAAAUCUACUA
rfam:Dendroctonus ponderosae Seq01024752, whole genome shotgun sequence.